CCUACGGGAGGCAGCAGUGGGGGAUAUUGCACAAUGGGGGAAACCCUGAUGCAGCGACGCCGCGUGGGCGAAGAAGUAUUUCGGUAUGUAAAGCCCUAUCAGCAGGGAAGAAGAAAUGACGGUACCUGAGUAAGAAGCACCGGCUAAAUACGUGCCAGCAGCCGCGGUAAUACGUAUGGUGCAAGCGUUAUCCGGAUUUACUGGGUGUAAAGGGAGCGCAGGCGGCACGGCAAGCCUGAUGUGAAAGCCCGCGGCCCAACCGCGGGACUGCAUUGGGAACUACCGGGCUGGAGUGCCGGAGAGGUAGGCGGAAUUCCUAGUGUAGCGGUGAAAUGCGUAGAUAUCACGCAGAACCCCGAUUGCGAAGGCAGCAUGCCGGCUUCCGACUGACGCUGAAGCACGAAAGCGUGGGGAUCGAACAGGAUUAGAUACCCGUGUAGUC
rnacentral:rRNA from 1 species